GGGCGGUUAACUCAGCGGCAGAGUGUCACCUUCACACGGUGGAAGUCACUGGUUCAAAUCCAGUACCGCCCACCA
rnacentral:tRNA from 3 species